GAUGAACGCUGGCGGCGUGCCUAAUACAUGCAAGUCGAGCGAACAGACGAGGAGCUUGCUCCUCUGACGUUAGCGGCGGACGGGUGAGUAACACGUGGAUAACCUACCUAUAAGAUUGGGAUAACUUCGGGAAACCGGAGCUAAUACCGGAUAAUAUAUUGAAUCGCAUGGUUCAAUAGUGAAAGACGGUUUUGCUGUCACUUAUAGAUGGAUCCGCGCCGCAUUAGCUAGUUGGUAAGGUAACGGCUUACCAAGGCAACGAUGCGUAGCCGACCUGAGAGGGUGAUCGGCCACACUGGAACUGAGACACGGUCCAGACUCCUACGGGAGGCAGCAGUAGGGAAUCUUCCGCAAUGGGCGAAAGCUUGACGGAGCAACGCCGCGUGAGUGAUGAAGGUCUUCGGAUCGUAAAACUCUGUUAUUAGGGAAGAACAAAUGUGUAAGUAACUAUGCACGUCUUGACGGUACCUAAUCAGAAAGCCACGGCUAACUACGUG
rnacentral:rRNA from 1 species